rnacentral:piRNA from 1 species
UCAAAUGGUGUCAUGAGUUCUCUCUCUCUGU